AAAAAACUAGAAAAUCAGAAGUUAAUACAAUACCCUUUGUCACCAUGUUUAUUUACAACUUUCUUUGGUGGGUGAAUCGGAUUUCAGUAGCUAGGAGCCAUGUGAAAACUAACAAGGUCUUCAAGUAUGCCCAGCCCUCAGAAUCACAGCCACAGUUAGAAUCAAACCCAACAAACUUCCCUUCUGAAAAUGGAUAUGGAGUCAAAAUAACCCUUUCCAUUGGAAGGGCUUGAAGGACAGAAGUGAGGAUGAGACAUCAAUUCAGAAUAGAAAAUAAGUUCCCCAGGAGACAGAAAAUGACCCAAGGGGGUCACUACAUGGGUAGUGAAAGCAUUUCGGUGGGUUGAGAAAGCAUUCUCACUUCUUUUUUUGAGAUUGUGGAAUAAUGUGUUGAAUUUGGUCUAUGGUGAUGUUUUUGAAUGACUAUAUCAACAGUGGUUGUUCUAUAAGAGUACAUUAGCCGGAAUCAAUUUUAAGAACAUGAGAGUUUUACGUACCAGGAUUUCAUUGGCAUGUAAUGAGGUUCAUUUGUCUCCGAGAACUGUUCUGGACUAUCAGGUUCAGCAGGUUGACCAGGAUCAUUGGAAGCAAUAAGACUAUCCAACUACAGACAAGAGGGAUAAGUGUAAGGAUGCAAGUCUACCAAUAACCGGGUACCUUUUUAUCCCUUACGUGGUGGCUCUGGGCCCUCAACGGGUCAGUACAUCCACCGCCGGAUGAGCAAUGGUGCUCAUGCUAGGAGGCUGAACUGGGAAAGCUUCUGACUGACUCAAAGUCUGUUUUCUCCUCCUGGAUUCCCCGUGUUUCCGAUACGGUGUUUUAUUGGACUAAAUUGCUAUUUAUUUUUCCGUUUCGUCACUAGGCAACUUAAUGAUAUGCACUCUUUCUCCCGACUGGUGCUGCUGUAGAGACGUGUCACCCGGCUGGGUCAAAGCUGGCCUCAGGCCACCGUUGCUCACAGGCGAGCCAACUUGCGUCAAGGGGCUGCGGAAGUCCUAGAAAAGACAUUGCCCUUGGGAGGCUCUCGGCUAGCCCCUCACUACCAAGGCAUUUGGGGGACUGGUUGCUCAAAAACCCUCAGGGCUUUUAAGCGCCUGCCUGGCAGUUGAAUCAUUAACCCAUAUUUGGAAAAAUUCCUUCCAGCCAAGCCGGUCUUCCCGCUGCUCACCUACAAAUGGUACUCUUCCAGAGCCAGCUUUCAGGCCACUUGCGUCACCUGGAGCCCCCCCUUUCCUCUCUGGCCCGAUGAAGCUGUGCUUGGGCCUUAUGAGGUCCCGCAGCCCCCUCCGACCACCUCAGCCAACACCAAUCUCCUCCUUCUCUGAACUGUCACUGCGUAGUUUUGUACUUACUUUUGGCGGGGGGAGUAUUUUUUAAUGGCCUUUUUUUUCUGUCUGGAAAUCAUCACCUCCCCGCUUCCCUUCCCUCAUGCACUCCAGGCAUUUAUCAGCAUCUCUCUUCAGCACAGAGCCCUUUCUGUCUUGUAUCGCGGCCUCCUUCUUUUCAAGGGUCAGCACCGUGAGCACAUCACCUGUGCCUGAUUCACCACCGAGCCCAGCCUCCUGCCUCAGGAACAGCACGCAGCAGGGACCCGGCAAAUAUCCGUGCAAGGAAGGAAGGCUUAGUGGAUGGAAGGGGUUACCUGUAAAAGAAUACUUUGAGGACUAAUAUAAUGACUCUCUUCUUCUGUCUCUUCUGUAGUCUCUGACAAGAAAUCAUGCGGCAGAUGAGCUUGUCUGAGUCCUGGAGAAUUGUUUUCCAUUAAAUGCUGAAUAAAGAGAGGAAGACAAUUAAUUCUAUUCUCUCUCUCUCUCUUUUUUUUUUUUUUGCAAGAGACAGAAUUAAACCACAUGCUUUCUGGGAAGCCAUAUUAGACGAGUUAAGUUGAGAAGAUCGGAACAUUUCCCAAGGUUACAUGCAGAAGUCCACACAACUUGAACUCGCCUCUUGAGUCUGGGUCACCUUGAUGAGUGCCAAGAUCAUGAAGCCAGACUGUGCUGAGCUGGGGGUGAAGAACGGUUCGCACAACAACGACAAGGACAACCAUCAUCACCACCACAAAACCCAACAAGGUAGAUGGUACCCUUAACUGGAGCUGACUGAAAAAUCUCCGAAUUCGAAUGCAAAGUGUGAAAAGGCAAGACGACCAGUAACGUUAUCUUUCGAAAAGCAGGGGGUGAGAAAGCUUUUAACAUAGUUGGAGAGCUCCCAACUAGAUAAAACAGCAGGUUAUGCUAUAUUAAGAUGUGCUUGGCACCCAGGGAGAAGGGAAAGUCAAUGGUUACAUCUCUAACGGACGAAAUGGUAUCCACGGCAGGAGAUAAAAAAAACAACCCAACCGCUCGGUCCGUUAAUCCAAAGUUGGGAAGACCGAAUCCAAGAGAGCUGAGAGCACAAUCACAAAUCACUUUCAAGAGCCGGAUGUGUUGUUUUCCUCAAAUGGGUUUCAUUAAAAAUGGAGUCACACACACACACACGCGCGCGUGUGUGCACACACACACUUAAAAGGAAGCAAGAUCGAUCUGGGUAAAUUAAAAAGAUGAAUGAGAACCUUGGUUUUACCCCAGAAAUAGAGACGGUAUGGCAGGAGACCGAGUGGUGUGUUGGGAAUCUUUUUUACAGAGGUAAUCCGUACCCUUUGUGUGAAAGGAAGGAAAAGGUUGCCAGCCAGGCUUCUGUUUAGCUGGAGGGUUCUCUGCCCAACAUACCCAGAUGCAUGGUGAGGCGCACCCAAAAUGAAUGAAUACAUUUCAAGGUAGGCAGGGCAAGCAGGAAGGCUCAUUUGUGGUAUAAGAAACAGACUAAAUAUAGGAUAAAUACUAAGGCUAAGAUCAUGAUGGUGGGUUAGGCUUAGAGGAAGCUGUCAAAUACAUGGGUAAUACUUUGGAAGCAUCAGCAGACUCCCAGGCAAGGCGUCGAGAGAGAGAGAGAGACAGACAGACAGACAGACAGAUGGAAGUCUGAUUACCAUGUCUGGAAGACUAUUUCUUGAUGGGGUGGGGCUGACAGCCUCUGAUGCGCUGGAAGGACCAAGGAGAGGACUGGGGUCUGAAGAAGGCCUUUUACCACCCAGGGGGAAUUUCUCCUGCUUAUGGAAGAGGAAUAUUGCAAUCAGGGCACAAUCCAUGUCUUACCUGGACCGAAGCAACAGCCUCGUCGCUGGGCUUCCCGCCUUCACUCUUUUCCGCUAACAUUUAUCCCCCCAGCCAGCCUUCUCGCACCAAGAUACAAGGUGAUCAUAGCUCUCUCCUGUUUCCAAGCCCUUGAGGACUCUCAGCCUGGGCUUCCAAUGUCCUGAAUUUCCCUCAACCUGUCUUUUUGACCCUGUGCCACUAUUUUCUGGUCAUUUGGGUCUACCAUAGACACACCUUGCUUUCCUUCCUCCACGGCCUCUGCCCUUGCUGUGGGCACAGAACAACUUGGAGAAAACAUGUCAAAAUGAUACCUAUACACUGAGUUUCAUUUAUAAAGGUCUACCCUCAUAAAGGACUUGUGUAAAUCAGCGAAGGUUCUCGGGAAGUAAAUUAAAAACCUAAAGCUACUACCCCUUACAUUAAAGAGAGAUUCCACUGAAAACGCAAGAGAUAUGAAGAGCCUUUGUACAGACACCAGCCUAGACUUACUCACUGAAAAAGGUAGCUGUUAUGCACCUUGAAUAACAAUGAUGGAAAAUGCUGUAGUCUUAGCUACGCUUAAAAAAGUGCAUUUCACUCCUCCGACCCCAUAAUGAAAAUUUGAAGGGUCUGCAUUUUAGGUCUCUUGCAAAACACGGAAGUGUUUUUUCCUAUUGUUCAUCACAAAAAUAACAAGGAUGUACAUUUUCUCACUUAUUUUUUCCUUGUAUUAGUGCCAGUUGCUCAGGAGGAAAAGCAAAAGCUACCAUUGUUUCCUUGUGACAGAGGCUGUGGUCAGGUGCCCUGUUAUUUUAUCAGCAAUGUAGAGUCACCUCUGUGUUCUGGCGUGCUGCUUUGGCGUCCCAGCAAAAUGAUAACAUGAAGGAGACCCAGUCUUUAAUCUUCUCCCUGUUGAUAGGAAUAAACUUUUCAGUUGGCGUGUGGCAACAAUAGCACCUGUGCUCCUUUUGAACCAGAAAAAGGUUCUUUUAUUAAGGUUGGAACAGGCAGUGGGAGCAGGUACCAGGGAAAUAAAGAUUUUUCCCGAAGUAGCUUCAAUGACCCACUGGCUCCUCACCACCUCCACACUUGCACACUAGAAUUAAUCUUCCUGCCGCCUCUGCGAGGAAAGCUCAGAGAAAUGGGAAGAACAGUCGAAAAUAACAGUAGUGAUCAUAGGGUUGGGACCUUUUGGCUUUGACACUGAUUUCUUUUGUGUUCAUAAGCGAGCCCCUUAACCCGUCAGCACCAUUUUUUUGUAUAGCUACCCAGGUGUGCCUCCCUUUGGGGGAUGCGUGUGUUUAUGAAGCCUGUGUUUGAAUGAAUUUAUAUAAAUCACAACUUUUCUAUUGACUUUCAUGACAAUGUGAAAAAGAAGGCUGUUCGCCUUGGGCUUAAUCUGCAGCAGAUCAAGGCCCUUCAUACUUCGGUGUGAGCGUUCUGUGCCUCCUCUGCCCAGCUUCCUCCCCUGGCCUUGGCCUCUCUGUCAAGCAGCCAAUCAUCUACAAAGGAUCCGUUAGGCACCUUUGCUUGCACCGGGAGCCCCCCUUAAAAACCGAAGCCUUCUUCAGGGAUGAACAUGGCCCCUCCCUAACAUAUGUAGCUUGUACAGAUGUUUGUGUAUUGGGUUCUCUUAUGUGGAAAGCAACUGGGGUGAUGGGGAUGGGGGUGUGGGUUGACUUGCGUCCCCUCAAAAUUCAUCUGUUGAAGUGUCGAUCCCCAGUACCUCAGAAUGUGACCUUAUCUGGAAAUUGGGUUGGGUUAUUGUAGAUGUCAUUGGUGAAGAUGAGGUUAUACUGGCCUCCUAAUUCAUUAUGACAAGCGUCCUUAUAAAAAGUUUGGAUGUAGAGACACGCUCACAGGGAGAAUGCUGUGUGAACGUUGUAGUUCUGCUGAUGCAAGCCAAGGAACUACCAGAAGCCAGGAGAAAGGCCUAGAACAGACCUUCCCUAGAGCCUUCAGAAGGAACGUGGCCCUGUGACACCCUGAUUUCAGAUGCCUGGCCUCCAGAACGCUUCUUUUCAGCAACCAAUAUUGUAAGCAUGAAGGCUUUGGUUCUUUCAGUCAAUGAUUUAAAUUUCAAUUUGCAUGCCCUGUGUUAGUAUUCGUUGUUAUACACGUUUUCCGGACUGGAUGCGCACCGGUCAAUUUCAAUGGAACCUCGGCGAUGUUCGUCUUUGUAAUAGGAGACGUGAAGUCUCCUUCCCCCACUCUUUGACAGAAUGAAAAACCGCUUUUUCCAAGAAGACUGAAAAAUGAAAACAUUUUGCAUCUUAGUUGGAUCUCCAAGGAAGAGAAGGGAUUUGAAAAAUGCUCAGGAAGCUAGUGGGAGGCCUGUUAGAUCAUGGUGCAUACUUACAGCAGAGAAGAAAAGCUGAGGAGGUGGUGAUUUAAUAAAGUAAUCUUGUUUGCAGACUUCAUUUUCAUAAUAAAAUGUAAAUUGUUUGCCUAAUAAAAGAAAGUGAACAGACUCAGUUUGUUCCCCUGUAGAUUUUGGGAAAGAACUGCUUCAACUGGAAAACGCUAUUUCCCUCUGGAAAGGUCUUCCAAUUAUUCAGUUAUGGAAAAGAACUUCGAUCCUAGAGCAGGAAAACAAAGAGCCCAAAGGACCGAGGGCAUUAUUCUUAUUCGACCAGAGCCAGGACUUCCCUUCAGAUGACGUUUAGAAGCUCCUUAAUGUCGGGUCCUCAUUUCUGGGGGGCACCUCUGGCUCUCCAGAUGUGAGCAAAGGUUUUUCUCUAUUCUUGUCAGAGCACCAGCCACAGGAGCAGAAUAAUUCUGCCUUGCUCCUUGGCUUAGUAAACAGAAGCAAAAACACCUGCUCUUUUUUUUUUUUUUAAUUUUUUUUAACGUUUAUUUAUUUUUGAGACAGAGAGAGACAGAGCAUGAACGGGGGAGGGGCAGAGAGAGAGGGAGACACAGAAUCCGAAGCAGGCUCCGGGCUCUGAGCCAUCAGCCCAGAGCCCGACGCGGGGCUCGAACUCACGGACCGCGAGAUCGUGACCUGGCUGAAGUCGGACGCUUAACCGACUGAGCCACCCAGAUGCCCCAAAAACACCUGCUCUUGAAAAUGAGGUGGCAGGGUGGUUACAUCAAAAGGUUUCCAAAACGUUAACUGCUUCUCCGUAAGGAUUGAAAUGUAGAGGGUUUUCUUCCCCUGUAUUUUCAAAAAUGUCUUCAAGAAAUAUGUACUACUUUCAUUAUUCAGAAAAAUGUCAUGUUAUUAAAGUUUUUUUUUGCUUUCACCUCCAGGCUGUAGUUUUAGUUUGCUCAUGGUUUUAUAAAAGACCGUCUUUACUAAAGAGUUAGAGCUUUUUAAUUAAGUGAAAACAGAAUCAGGAUUAGGUAGCACAACUGAUGGGGACAUUAUGCUAGAAUUUAGUAUUUCUUUUUUUUUUUUUUUAAACAUUUUCUUUUAAAAGUUUAUUUAUUUAAUGGGGCGCCUGGGUGGCUCAGUUGGUUAAGCGUCUGACCCUUGGUUUCAGCUCAG